rnacentral:rRNA from 1 species
ACGAACGCUGGCGGCGUGCCUAACACAUGCAAGUCGAACGAAGCUCUGCGAUACAAGACUUCGGUCAAGUUGAACGGAUGACUUAGUGGCGGACGGGUGAGUAACGCGUGAGGAACCUGCCUUUCAGUGGGGGACAACAGUUGGAAACGACUGCUAAUACCGCAUAAUGUAUUCUGACCGCAUGAUCGGAAUACCAAAGAUUUAUUGCUGAAAGAUGGCCUCGCGUCUGAUUAGAUAGUUGGUGAGGUAACGGCUCACCAAGUCAACGAUCAGUAGCCGGACUGAGAGGUUGAACGGCCACAUUGGGACUGAGAUACGGCCCAGACUCCUACGGGAGGCAGCAGUGGGGAAUAUUGGGCAAUGGGGGAAACCCUGACCCAGCAACGCCGCGUGAAGGAAGAAGGCUUUCGGGUUGUAAACUUCUUUUACCAGGGACGAAGGACGUGACGGUACCUGGAGAAAAAGCCACGGCUAACUACGUGCCAGCAGCCGCGGUAAUACGUAGGUGGCAAGCGUUGUCCGGAUUUACUGGGUGUAAAGGGCGUGUAGGCGGAGAAGCAAGUCAGAAGUGAAAUCCAUGGGCUUAACCCAUGAACUGCUUUUGAAACUGUUUCCCUUGAGUGUCGGAGAGGCAGGCGGAAUUCCUAGUGUAGCGGUGAAAUGCGUAGAUAUUAGGAGGAACACCAGUGGCGAAGGCGGCCUGCUGGACGACAACUGACGCUGAGGCGCGAAAGCGUGGGGAGCAAACAGGAUUAGAUACCCUGGUAGUCCACGCUGUAAACGAUGAAUACUAGGUGUGGGAGGACUGACCCCUUCCGUGCCGCAGUUAACACAAUAAGUAUUCCACCUGGGGAGUACGAUCGCAAGAUUGAAACUCAAAGGAAUUGACGGGGGCCCGCACAAGCGGUGGAGUAUGUGGUUUAAUUCGAAGCAACGCGAAGAACCUUACCAGGCCUUGACAUGGAAACAAAUACCCUAGAGAUAGGGGGAUAAUUAUGGAUCACACAGGUGGUGCAUGGUUGUCGUCAGCUCGUGUCGUGAGAUGUUGGGUUAAGUCCCGCAACGAGCGCAACCCCUAUUGUUAGUUGCUACGCAAGAGCACUCUAGCGAGACUGCCGUUGACAAAACGGAGGAAGGCGGGGACGACGUCAAAUCAUCAUGCCCCUUAUGUCCCGGGCUACACACGUAAUACAAUGGCGGUCAACAGAGGGAAGCAAAGCCGCGAGGCAGAGCAAACCCCUAAAAGCCGUCUCAGUUCGGAUUGCAGGCUGCAACUCGCCUGCAUGAAGUUGGAAUUGCUAGUAAUCGUGGAUCAGCAUGCCACGGUGAAUACGUUCCCGGGCCUUGUACACACCGCCCGUCACACCAUGAGAGUUGGGAACACCCGAAGUCCGUAGUCUAACCGCAAGGAGGGCGCGGCCGAAGGUGGGCCUGAUAAUUGGGGUG